rnacentral:lncRNA from 1 species
GCCAAGCGGUGCCAUGUCCGCACCCGGGAUUGGAACCGGAAUCGGCGAACCCCGGGCUGCCGAGAAGCUGAUAAUAAAAUGUAAUGUCUAUGGAGUUUGGCCUUAAAAUUAUUUCAGCUAUUUCAGGAACACAGUCUUGGAAAAUUUAUUGACGCUCUGGCAAAAGAAGGAUCAUUCUCCAAAUCAGUCAUUCAGUCUUCAGAAGCCUAGGAUUGUUUCUGCUUCUGAAGAUCGUGGACUUCCUAGGUUCUAUGGGUGACAAAUAACUGCAUCAAGACAUAAUAGAAAGAAAUCUGUUUAAAAAAAUGCAAAGCCUAAGUGACCUGAAAAUUUUAAAGUAUCAAGAUGGAAGUGCUCCUAAGGCUAUGUAAUUCCACCCAGGAAUAAAUUUCUAACUGUGCAGAAGAUGAAAAACCCCAUUAAAGAAGAAGUUCUCAAGUACCUGAUAAGGGAGACGAGAGCAUUUACAGCUGGUUGGUUAGCCCACAUCCACCAUGAACUAACCUUUUCCCUUCCAUAGAAGCUGGAGGACGUAAACUGACUUAUCCAGUCUCCCUUCCAGCUACAGAUGGUCAUGUCACAUCCUUCUGGCCAAAGAGACUAAAGCAGAAGUCUGCUGGGGGACAUAUGGGAAACUCUUGCUUCCCUAGAAAAGGGGACACACAUACUUGGGAAUGCAACUUUACGACUUGAACGUGAGCUUGAUGCCUGGAGUACUGUGAAAAUGAAGAUAAGGUCAAGAGAACUUCAGAAAUGUCAGCUCUGAUACCUUUGAGCUGCUGAACCAACACAAGC